AUUAUUAUUUUUACUUUCAGUGCCCCACAACCUGAAGGCGGACAUUUUUAGAAUUACACUAAUAUAUAAUAAUUUAGAGGUCAGGUAAAUCAGAUAUAAUACAGUAGGCUUUAUAGAGUUAACUAGACACAGCAUCUUAAAUCUGUGGGCAAAAAAGUGUGUGAGACACAGCACAACAAUCAUAGACUUUCUAUUACUUUCUUUCUAUGCAUAACGUAAUAGGGUACAAUUGAGUACAGAAGAUGCUUUUGGAAGACUAUUCAUUUUUACAUGCAUCAUGACUAACCAGAGGAGACAGAUAUAAUGAUUGUUUGAUGGCAUAUUGAAAACACAUUCUUUUCACACUGAGCCAGAACACAACAAAUAACAUGUCAUGACAGCAGCAUACAGGAUUAGUUCAAAUCAUAAUUCUUAGUCCACAGGCAAAGAGGAUUCCACUGAGAUCAACACCUUUCUUUCAUAUAUGAGCUGUCAGCUGUCUUGUAAAUCUUUUAUGUCUAGCUUGAUCUUUAGCAUUUUGUUGGGUUUAAUGCCAGUCAAAACAAGUCGAUGACAGUUUCAUUUAAUAUAAAGCACAUUUGCUGAAGUCAGUCUUCUAUUAUUACAACCUGUCAUGAAUUUGUUAGUCACUGUCAGAAUUCUGCUUUAAAAAAAAUUAAAAAGAAGGCCAGCAAAAGUCAUGUGCACUCCACAUACACACACACACACACUUUGAUCUUCAAAGCUUUGUCUCAUUCUGCAGAAAAUGAUGACAGGCGCAUGAGCAGGGUUGUGUGGGUAAUUGAAUGUACUGCACUCAAAAUACAUUGACGGUACAAUCCUAUUAACAAAAUUUGCUCUUUUUGUCUCUUUUUUUCCUCCAAGUGUUUCCCCAGUUCUCAGAACCUUAAACUAAAAUUAAAAGUGCCUCCAACUAUGUCCGUUUCAUCUAGUUUCUAUAAUUUAUAUGGCACAUUUUCACUUUUUUGCUUUGCUGAACACAAGUGUGCCAUGAACCAACUGGUCCAGACUUCACACUAGACAGUCAGGAAUUAGCCCUGCUGAUAGAUGUUGUGAAUACAGUAUUAUGCUGACCAAACCCACUGAAAAAAACAAAACAAAAACAUGCAAUUUGUUGAGCCUAAGAGUGCUUUUUGACCCACUUAAGUAGGACAUAAUUACAGCUUUAUAAUUGCAUUAUUACUUCUGUCGUGUUUGAAAUAUUGUUAAUGUGUACUGCUGAAUGAACUGACAAGCAUUU
ensembl:lncRNA